GCUGGGAUGAGCUCGUCUGGUGGCGGGCGUAGCCUUCAAAGCUAUGGACGCAGAGAUGCGUAGGGGUUCAAUUCCUCCUUCCUAGC
rnacentral:tRNA from 1 species